AAGUCGUAACAAGGUUUCCGUAGGUGAACCUGCGGAAGGAUCAUUAAACAAUUAAUAGUCUUUUACAAAACUAUAUCAACCCUUUGUGAACCAAAAAACCUUUUCGCUUCGGUAGCAGGCUUGGUUGCGUGCGGUUUAAAAAAACCAAGCGCUUUCAAGCUAUCAGCUUGCCGGUAGCACUAAAUAUAAACCUGUUUUAAAACUAUUAUCUGAACAAAAUCAUUUUCGAAUGAAAAUUAAAACUUUUAAUAACGGAUCUCUUGGUUCUC
rnacentral:misc_RNA from 1 species